rnacentral:tRNA from 1 species
AGUCUUAUAGUCAAUAUGAUGGCAUUAAAUUGCAAGUUUAAAGAAGAAUUUAUGUUCUAAGGCUU